rnacentral:misc_RNA from 1 species
CUAGUUUCUAAAUAAGCUUUCAAAGGCUAACAAUUUCUCUAGAUGAGAUCCAAAGGAGCGCGAGCAACUUCUAACGGAGAACGGAAUAGCACAGUUAGAAAGAUUAUAUACAGAUUCUGAUUCAAGGACGCAGCAUUUGUUGAACAAAGAAUAUAACUGGAAUAUUCUGGAAGAUCUUCCUAUCAAUUGACCUUGACUUUAUGGUUCUGCAAGAAAGAGUAACUUACAACAGAAUCAAUGGAAGAUGCAUUCAAGCAUGAAUUUAAAAAUUGCAAUUGACCCUGACUUCAGAAUAAGCCUGUUUAAUUCUAUACCACAGGACUUGCCUACCUAACACCAUCACAAAAAUUUGUACCCAUAAGUACAUAGGUCAUACAUACAGCAAUCAAAAAGAGAGAGAGAAUCUCAACAUUUCUGCCAUAGACAUUUCUUGAUACCUUCUUCACUAGGAUGAUGAUGAUGAUGAAGAAGACAUGAAUCGCAUGUGCAUGGCUUGUGAGAGACUUGUCAACCGUAUUGAACCAUCUCAUGGUUGCCUUUCUUUAUUAGUUUAAGUCAAAUAAACAAUCCAUUCAGCAUCUUACGCAAUGUUGUACAGAAUACUUCUAAUGUUUUCCACAGAAUUUUUUUUGGGCGAUUGUGGCUGACUUAAUUUUCUGAUAAAAUCAUAACCAUGUGCAAUUAUCUUGAAGCACUAUUAUAAAGAUUGGCCUGAGUUGAAAAUGAAAAGAGUAAAACCCAACAAGUUGAAAUCAAUUAAAAUUACAUACCCAUAAUUUCAGCUCUAAAAAUUAUCAUCAAUCACUCCAUCCUUCCAUACCAUUAUAUUUCAGCAUAAAAUGCCGCUUUCUAUGAACAAGCAAGCCUUCAUGGGUCAAUGGAAGCUGCACAUCUUCAAGCCUCAAUUUUAAAAUUGCAAUUGACCUUGACUUCAGAACAAGCCUGUUUGGUUGUGAACUGCAUAUGAGUUCCAUAUAAAAAUUGUAAACCUCCAAAUCACGAAGAGACAGAAAAUUAAAAGAGAGAUGGAAUAUCAACAUUUCAGCCAUAGACAUCUCUUGAUACCUCAUCACUUUAAUGAAGAAAGUGAAGAAAUCAAGUGCAAGGCCUGUGAAAGACUCAUCAUUGCUACUGAACCAUUUCAUGGUUGCCUUUCAUGCAAAUAUUUCCUCCAUGACCAAUGCCUCAAUCUACCUCGCUGGCUUCACCACCCAUCUCACAAUUCUCACCCACUAACACUCCUUCCUACCCCAACAUACCCUUAUGGGUCCUAUUCAUGCAAUGCAUGUGGGGUUCCUGGAAGCUCCUUCAGCUUUAGCUGUGCUGAAUGUGAGUUUGAUUUGCAUACCCAUUGUGCCAAUUUGCCUAGCACAGUAGUUAUUGAUGCACACCCUCAUGAGCUUAAACUCACCUUUGAUGUUCCUUAUGAUGGGAACAUUUCCAUUGUGUGUGAUGUGUGCGGUGGUGGAGUGGACAAGCGUUUUUGGAUCUACAAAUGUGUUGAUUGUGGGUUUGAUUGCCAUUUGAACUGUGUGAAGACUGAUCAAGGGACAGGAUUAAAUCAAAACCAGCCAGAUACAGCGGGUGGGCAACCAAUAAGAGUUAAUGAUGCAUUGGAUCCAAUUAGGCAAGCAGCAAACCAGAUGAUGGAAGAUCAGCUUGAGAUGAUGAGAUUGCAAAAUCAGUUGAACAGGACCAGGAUGAUGGCAAAUCUGAUGACUUGGGCAUGGCGUUGACUUGAUUACAUCAGCUGUGCUUAAGGUAUUCCGUUAGC